rnacentral:lncRNA from 1 species
AAACUCUCUUUUUCUCACCUUUCCUUUGGAGGAUCAUUCCUUUCAAAGUUCUGAUCAUAACAAAGACCUACUUACAACUAAGCUCAAAGAUCACGUUGUGUGGCCUCAAGUCAAUGACCCAGUUGAUAGCUGCUAGAAGAGAUGAAGCUUCGGCUUCAGCAAUGGGAAUGGGACCAGCAUGUAAUGACGUUCUUGCAGCAACAAACUCGCCAUUUGCAUUUCAAAGACAUGCUCCUAAACAUAUUUAGUCAUCAUGUUUUUGUCCUCUGAAUUUUGUCAUGGUUUGGCAAGG